rnacentral:lncRNA from 1 species
GGGAUCUAGAGUGGACAAUCCCAAUAGCUGUGGGGAGAUGGGAGGCCUUUAGCAUAGCCAUAAUUUGGUUUGCAUUAGUUACUGAUCCUCCUUUUGUGCAGAUCAUAAAGAUCUCCCGAACCUUCUGCCUCACUCCUCCUGUUAUACCUGCCCUCAACUCCAGCACACUUUCUGGGAACUCACCACCCAAAGCCUAAUUGAGAAGCAAGAAGGCCAGCAAAGCAGGUCCAGGGUCCCACAAUCACAGCUCUAAAAGAUUCUCUGUGUGAAGUGUUUGAAGAAGUGGUGGACGUGACACUGAUCUUGGAGCCGCAUUCCCUGACUCUGUUAAGAGUGCAUUGUGUAUACUACAAAGCCACAUUGCCUUUCGGCAGAAUGAGCACCCAAAACUCAAGUCAUUACCAAGAUACUUUCCAGGACAAAGUAGUCCGUGUUCUUCAGUGCUGGAAGUAGCAGAAACCAAAGGGCUCACAGUUGUAUGAAAUAGUUCAUUGGAUAGGUCGAUGUUUUGCAUAUGCCUAUGGUUUAACAUGCAAGAGUAUCUGGAAGUUCAAGCAAGAACUGUGCAGUGAGUGAUUUUUGAGGACUACAAGCAGAAUGAAUCAAAGACAUUAUCAACUAGCCAUCAUUCCUUAAACUGGCUUCAUCUUAACCAAAUCUGGAAACAAACUCCUGACUGACAUUGUUUAGAGAGUGAACUCGGUGUAAAUCCCAUGAUCCUCUCUGAGUGUUACAAUCACCAAAGCUAAAGACCCACUGGGUCGACGUUUUUCUCUAUUCUUCUCUCUGGGAU